rnacentral:rRNA from 1 species
AUUGAACGCUGGCGGCGUGCCUAACACAUGCAAGUCGAGCGGUAACAGGUGUAGCAAUACAUGCUGACGAGCGGCGGACGGGUGAGUAACGCUUGGGAAUCUGCCUGUUAGUGGGGGACGAACCCGGGGAAACUCGGGCUAAUACCGCAUACGCACUACGGUGGAAAGCCGGGGACCGCAAGGCCUGGCGCUAACAGAUGAGCCCAAGUCGGAUUAGCUAGUUGGUAGGGUAACGGCCACCAAGGCGACGAUCCGUAACUGGUCUGAGAGGACGACCAGUCACACCGGAACUGAGACACGGUCCGGACUCCUACGGGAGGCAGCAGUGGGGAAUAUUGGAC